rnacentral:ncRNA from 1 species
CGACGAAAAAGGCAAACCAGGUGAAAGCCUGGGACGCAAAGCCUCCGGUCUAAGGUGAACGCUAUCGAUAGCGGGGCUGCCGAG